CAACAAUUUUUAUAAAAUUUGUAAAUUUUUACUAACAUUUUCCACUGAAACUACUGGGCCAACUUCAUUAUAGAUAGAGAUAAUUGUAAGCUGCAAGGAUGUUCAGUAAAGUAAGAUGUACAAACACAUCACCAUCACCAAAAUACAAUUUUGUCAUGAAUCCAUCUGCUUCCUUUGUUUAAUAGUCACAUAGACCAAGGUGAGCGACACAGGCUCUUUAGAGCCUCUAGUUAUAUCUUCCAGUUU
rnacentral:lncRNA from 1 species